rnacentral:rRNA from 1 species
GUAGGUGGCAAGCGUUGUCCGGAAUUAUUGGGCGUAAAGCGCGCGCAGGCGGUCCUUUAAGUCUGAUGUGAAAGCCCACGGCUCAACCGUGGAGGGUCAUUGGAAACUGGGGGACUUGAGUACAGAAGAGGAAAGCGGAAUUCCAAGUGUAGCGGUGAAAUGCGUAGAGAUUUGGAGGAACACCAGUGGCGAAGGCGGCUUUCUGGUCUGUAACUGACGCUGAGGCGCGAAAGCGUGGGGAGCAAACAGGGUUAGAUACCCUGGUAGUCCACGCCGUAAACGAUGAGUGCUAAGUGUUAGGGGGUUUCCCGCCCCCCUUAGUGCUGCAGCUAACGCAUUAAGCACUCCGCCUGGGGAGUACGGCCGCAAGGCUG